CGCACCGCCCGUCACACCAUGGGAGUUUGUUGCACCAGAAGCAGGUAGCUUAACCUUCGGGAGGGCGCUUGCCACGGUGUGGCCGAUGACUGGGGUG
rnacentral:rRNA from 1 species